ACGCUGGCGGCAUGCCUAACACAUGCAAGUCGAACGGGUUGUACUUCGGUACAGCUAGUGGCGGACGGGUGAGUAACACAUAGGAAUCUGCCCGAGAGUGGGGGAUAACCCAGGGAAACUUGGAUUAAUACCGCAUGAUCUCUACGGAGCAAAGCUGGGGACCUUCGGGCCUGGCGCUUUUGGAGGAGCCUAUGUCUGAUUAGCUUGUUGGUGAGGUAACGGCUCACCAAGGCGACGAUCAGUAACUGGUCUGAGAGGACGACCAGUCACACCGGAACUGAGACACGGUCCGGACUCCUACGGGAGGCAGCAGUGGGGAAUAUUGGACAAUGGGCGAAAGCCUGAUCCAGCAAUGCCGCGUGUGUGAAGAAGGCCUUCGGGUUGUAAAGCACUUUAGGAUGGAAAGAAAAAACUUCAGUUAAUAGCUGAAGUCUUGACGGUACCAUCAGAAUAAGCACCGGCUAACUCUGUGCCAGCAGCCGCGGUAAUACAGAGGGUGCAAGCGUUAAUCGGAUUUACUGGGCGUAAAGCGUGUGUAGGUGGUGGCGUAAGUCGAUUGUGAAAUCCCCGGGCUCAACCUGGGAACUGCUUUCGAUACUGCGUCACUAGAGUACGGUAGAGGGUGGUGGAAUUUCCGGUGUAGCGGUGAAAUGCGUAGAUAUCGGAAGGAACAUCAAUGGCGAAGGCAACCACCUGGGCCUGUACUGACACUGAGACACGAAAGCGUGGGGAUCAAACAGGAUUAGAUACCCUGGUAGUCC
rnacentral:rRNA from 1 species